rnacentral:snRNA from 1 species
CAGUAUUACAGCUCCCUUAGAAUUUGUCUAGCAGGUUUUCCAGUUGCUACCAGAAAGCUCCC